rnacentral:lncRNA from 1 species
CUUCAACAGUCAUCAUUCCAUAAACACGCUCGAUUAGAGAGUUUGCUUUUGGAAUGAUGAAGACAAGAUUCAGAGGAAUCUUCCUGCAAGUGCUGGAGGUUCAUCACACCUUUGUACCUCACGUAAGUGAACAAACACAUAGCAGCAUUUUAUGUUCUUUGGAAUAUAUUUCUAUUAAUUUAUAGAUUUAAUGUAUUUAUUGCAGGUUGUCCCAGCUUGUGCUGUCCUGCAUAAUAUCUGCCCCUGUGCUGACGACACCGAGGCCCCAGAGGAAGAUGUGGAGGUGAUGAUGAGGAGGAGGAGGAGGAGGCGGCGGCUGGUUUGGAGGUCAUCAGCGGUCCUCUCUGGCAGGACCAACUACCUGCUGAGGUUUCUGUCCUGGGGGAGGUACAACCAGACCUUUAUUACUGGUAACAGCAUCCGUGGACAGCCAGCCCUGCAAACUCUGAAGAUGGACGAUGCAGUCUACAGUCUCUGCAGAUCAUCCUGCAAGAUGUUCCAAUCACCACCCAGAAAGUUCCAGCCCAGGUCUCAGUUGAAGCCCCCCAUCCAUGUCAACACAUCUUUGUAAAUAGUUGGAAAUAAAAGUGUUACAUUAAUAAUGAUUACUGUGUUAGAUUUAUACCUUUAUUUAAAUUAACAAAGCAGACAUUUGUAAUAGUGGACUUCCUACUAACCUUCUCCUGAUGCUGGAUACUUACAAUCCUGAACACAGAAUCAUCAUAGACAGCAGAAAAAAGAAGAGACAAACCUUUUUAUAACAUGCAUAUUUAACCUGUAUCAAACAUGUUAUAUUCUUCACCACACAUCAACAUACUUUGUAUUUUUUUAAGUUGUCCGACUGUUUUUUGGCCUGUAAGGGGAAACCUUUUCCAUCAGAUCCAUUUUCUCCAGGAAAAACCCAAAACAUAGA